rnacentral:lncRNA from 1 species
UCACUAUUUAAGCAGAGAUAUGCCUCAGAUAUACUCUUUACAGGAAAUGGACUCGGACUUCGUGUGCUUGUUCCAUGGCUUACUCAGAUAGUCAUGCAGGAGCUGGGAAACAGUAGGAAGGAGCAAGGCAUGGAGCAAAGUAGAGCUACGAAGAUUUCCCUGCUUGAGAUACGGCACCUAAGGAGGAGUUGGCUUUUGGAUGAGGCCCUUCUCUGGCUGUGUGGAAGUACUGAUCUAAAUCUGCACUGAAGGAGGCAGACAGCUACCACAAGAGCAUUCUCCCUGUGUUGAGAAUACCACUGGAAGCCUCCAAGAUUCUGCAUGGCUCCUCUGGCCUGUGCUGAUGUGCUGGCAGCUACUGCACGUUACAGCUGACACAAAGCCUUGAUGCUGACAGAGGUUGCAUGUGGUUUUGCUGCAGGCCAGCAGUCAGCCCCAGCGAUACCAUCCAGCCCUGCCCUGCUGCCGACCUUUCCUGCCACUUCUCACUUUUCAUUUGUUUGCUUUCUUUAUCAGCCCUGGCCCUUGUCAAUACAAAGCACAGAACUGGGUGUGUGGGAGUUAGGGAGGAGGCUGCAGCCCUCUGUGAACUGUUAUUUUCGGACAGAGAUUGGCUGCAGUCAUUUAUCCCUUGCCAAAGAGUUUAAAAACGGCACGCUUGCUGAUCCAGGUGAUUUUACGAGGAGGUGGUGCCUGCCAUUUCCCAUCACAGCUACUGAUUGCUAAUCAUACAGCUGAUAUUAUACUGCGGACAGCUGAGUUAAAGGGAAUUCCCGUAAGAGCCUCAUGCCAUACAGAUAACAGUUUCUUUAAGAGCCUGAAAAUUCUCAGACAGGUGAAUUUUUCCGCUCCAGGUUGGAUGGGGCCAUGGGCAGCCUGAUCUAGUGGGUGGCAACCCUGCCCACGGCAGUGGAGUUGGAACUAGAUGGUCUUUAAGGACCCUUCAACCCAAGCCAAUCUAUGAUUCCCUGAUUCUGUGAUUCCUCUUACUACAGUUCAUGUUAGUGGCUUGGCUGUUAGGAAGAUAAUCCUUGGGAUUAGGGUGAGGACAGAGUCAUACAUAAAUAUAGCAAAUGGAAAACGCUCCACUUGUCAUUCAUAAAGCUCUCCUUCUAGGAACGGAGGGGAUGGCUGCCGGUCACAGAGAGCAGGGCAAACAUGUCUCCUCUGUGCAGUUUGGUGUUUUUUUCUGAUUUUGUAGUAGUCAGAAACUGCAAUUUUUUUGAAGUCGCCUUUUCACACAUCUAAAUGAAACCUUAAAAAUCAGUUUGGCUAAGAAGGUAGUGAGUAUGAAGUAUAAAUUAUCAUCCUUCAUUAGAAGCUUUUCACCCUGCUUUAUCCCUUCAUCGUAUAGACUCAUGUUGCCAUAGAAGAAGCAGCAAUGUCAGAACAUGACUUAAAAUAAUUCCACUGAUCAAGUGUUAAUUGCACUCUUGUACAAUCAAAGCAGACUGCUCAGGAACACGUUAAGCUUACCUUUGUGACAGCAAAUCAUUGCCAAACCCUCCUUUGGCCAAACUCUUCUGCAAACACUGUUAUAACAGUAAACAUUUUAUUGGCUCAGAGCUGGAAGGGACCAUUAAAACUCUGGUUACCAUAAAUUGUGACAUUUGUUGCACAGCAGCUGUACAUGUACAUGUUCCCAUUGCCACGGCAGAUGCAAGAGUGAAGUGGGUUAACCCAACUGUCUGUUCGCCUCAAGGUAACUCAGAUUGCUGCAGCGUAUUUUCACUUGUAAUUAAGCUGCCUCAAACUGCCCUCAGAGCAGCAGUGAUCGGGGAUGCGCAUGGAUGCUUCAGGUGGCACAAUCAUUUUACCCCUCAGUAACCUGUGUAAUGGCUUUUGUUCAUGGUCUGUGUCUUUGAUCGCCUUCUUGACUUCUUUAAUAUCACAAGGCAUUAUCAGGAUAUUUCAUCAUUUUGCGGGUUGCAAAGUCUCACUCAGCACCAUUUUUAUUAAUCCGUAGUGUUAAUGGAGUCUUUCAAUGGCAAAGAGUUUUCCAGCAAAAAUAAGGGAUCAGGACGGGCUUGUGGCCCAUUACUAGAUGCAAGGUCAAUUGUGCUCCUUCAAACGACAAUCUGACUUCUAAGGAAAAAGAUUAUGCCCAUACUUUCACCGUGUUAGAUGUAAAAAUGUACUCUUGCACUGUACUGAGAACUAUUUUUGCAUUAAAAAUGACUAAAAUGUGUAGCUGCAUCACAGCAGCAUUCUAGUCCUAUUGGAGCUAAUUGUGAAACCUGUAAUGCCUUCUAGCAGAGGAAGAUCAAAACGUAUGCAUAUAAACAAUACAGUGUUUAAAUAAAUCCAAGUUAUAAGCAUAUGUUUCACUAUAAAUUGAUUCUGUUGAUCUUAGAAAUCAAGAUGUCAAAUAAUGUGUUUUCCUCUCUGUACUGUCCAUUACUCUUCAGGUAUUUAGACACUGAGGGUCAUGCACAUGCAUUACAGGGUUAAUGCCAUGCUCAGGCCAUUAAUAGUAAGAUGGCAAGAAAACAGAAGAAAAAAAAAACACCAUUUAUGUGAGACAAGACAGGAGAAUUUAUUGACUGAAGUGUCUUUAUCUUCAUGUUCAUUUUUCAUUUUAAGAGGUGUAAGUAUAAACCAUCAUCAUUAUCAUUUAGAACCAAUCAAAGCCAGGAAUGACAUCCAAAGGUCUGAUUAAGGCUUUACUUGCAUGAUGCAGAUGGGUUUUGUCUUGAUGACAGAUAAAUCCCUCACUACUGAAGAAUAACAUCAUCAGAGCAGAAGUCAGGGAAAUAAACUGUGACAAAGAGAGCCAGUGAUAGAUGGCCAAGUGAGCAAGGGACUGACAGCAAGGACAUAUGGAUCCAGUUCUCAGCUCCAUCACUGUCUGAGUAUGUGACCAUGAACAAGAAGCCUGUGCAUAUUCCUUCAUCUGGAAUGUCCAUCAGACAAUAUGGACUUAGCACAAGAGCACGUUAGUAUUCCAGAAAAAGAUUUUGAAAUUUACCUCGUGGGACAGGCUGCAGUACUGAAGAUUUUUAAAGCCAUACAGGAAUUGGUGGUCUUGGGAUCAUCUGUGGCUAUUGGUCAGUUACCUGAUGUCUUGUAUUUGUUAGAGGUGAACAGAAGGAUUCUGUGACACUGCAUCCAGAGUUGACAUGUGAAUCCUUGUGGACUGAUGAUCAAGUAUACAAUUUCUUGUAGCUGGGAAAGGUUGGCAUGAUGCCUCAUCCUGGAAGCAUUCAAGGGUUGAUGGGGCUGUGAGACAACCUGGUCCAGAGGGAGGUGUCCCUGUCUAUAGCAGGGGGUUGGAAGUAGAUGAUCUUAAAUGUUUCUUCCAACCCAAACCAUUCUAUGAUUCUAUGAUCUUUGUAGAGCCUUCAAACCCCACUCGCUGUGUAUGCUGAAUAUAUUGAACCCAUACCUUCCUAGAAUCAUAGAACUUAUUGGGUUGAAAGGGACCUUAAAGCCCACCCAGUUCCAUGGGCUGGUUGCCCCCCACCAGCUCAGGCUGCCCAGGGUCCAUCCAACCUGGCCUUGAGCACCUCCAGGGAUGGGGCACCACAGCUCUCUGGACAGCAGUGCCAGGACCUCACCACCGAGUAAAGAAUCUCUUCCUAACAUCUAAAUCUCCCUUCUUUUGGUUUAAAGCCAUUCCCCCUUGUCCUCUCACUAUCAGACCAUGUAAAAAAGUUGGUCCCUCUCCUGCUAAUAAGCUCCUUUAAAUACAGGAAGGCUACAGUGAGAUCUUUCCGGAGCCUUCACUUCUCCAAGCUGAGCAAGCCCAGAACUUCUGCCUUGAGUAAAUGUUUAUCUAGAAUGCAUGUACUUUACCAUAUAAGCAUUACACUACAGAUACUCUCUCUCUAUACAUAUAUGCAUCUUUAUGUAUGUUUUAUUCAGCAACAUGGACAAGAAUACUACAGCAGAUGAAGAUGUUGUUGCCUUACGUAUGAGGAGCUCACCAUAACUAACUGUGGUCCAUUGGGCUCCAGAAUCUUCUACUACACUUAGUUUUUCUUGCCACUGUUUGUAGUAGGGAAAGGUCUUGAUCAAAUUCAUGGCCCCUAUUGUGGAAAGUCUUCCUGUGCCACAAUGAAUUUAAAUGAAAGUCUGCAUGAAUAGCUAGUAUACAGUCACUGCAAAAUGGAACAAACCAGCUGCACAAUGCCAAGAAUUGUCAAGGCAUGUGGUUUGGAAAACACUACAAUGUAAGUUUAUAGCUGCAGCUCAAUUCAUUUCCUGAGAGGAAAGAUAAUGCUGUAGAAGAAUAGACACUAUACGGUCCCUCUUUAUGUGGCAUUCAUCCGUUAGAAAGUUUAUUUCAUUGGCAUUCUUGUAGAUGUCAAACUGCUAAACGCAAGGCUGCAGCACAAAGAAAUUUCUUAAAUUACUGGGGGAAUAAAUUAGCUCUUAUAACAUGCUUUGAAAUUUCAAUUGCGUUCUGUAGCAAAAAGCAAGUCCCCGAGUGUGUAUAGAAUCCCAUUCCACGGACCAUUGUUUCCUUCCUGCUGCUGAAAAAUAGCUUAAAUAAAAUCCUACGAGUUUAA